rnacentral:rRNA from 1 species
UAUUAUUUUAAGUGUUAAUUUUGCUUACCUGGGUAGUAAUAGUUAGGAUCUUAAAACCCAAAGAAUUUGGCGGUAUCUCAUUCCAUUUAGAGGAACCUACCCCGUAAUUGAUAAUACACGAUUAACUUUACUUAAUUUAUUUGUUUGUAUAUCUCCGUUAUCAGAAAAUCUUUAUGGAGUUAUAAUUUUCUUAAUUUUUGAUUUUAAAAUAUUUCAGGUCAAGGUGCAGCUUAUAAUUAAGAGGAGGUGGGUUACAAUAAAUUUUAGUUUAUUACGCAUUUGAUAGUGGAAUACUAUUAAUGAAGGUGGAUUUAAUAGUAAUUUAAUUUAUUUAAUUUAAUUGAUAUUGGCUCUGGGGUGUGUACACAUCGCCCC